AAUUUUGCUACUUGCCGCCUCGGUGUCUCAUAUUAAUGGGCUUUGUAAGGCCCAACGCUCGCUUAUCAUUUUGUUUCUCGACGCCGAGCCUCGCCGUCUCAUCUUAAUCGGCUCCACCGUGUAUUACAUGUGUGACUAUAACAGAGCAAUAAGAGAGGAUAUUUUGAGGCCAGAAGUGGUGGAUCUUAUGGAGAGGUACGCAGUUGCUGAAUCAGUCUGUGUAAGCUUUAGUAACUUGGCUAAGGUGUUUCUUGACAAGCAUGUUCAUGCAAACACAUGAGAUUCAUAUGUAAUGUUAAGGAAACAAGCAUUGCUGAUUUUGAUUGGCUCCUUUUGAGAUGAAUGAGAAA